rnacentral:rRNA from 1 species
UGGUGGGUUGCCUUGUCAGGUUGAUUCCGGUAACGAACGAGACCUCAGCCUGCUAAAUAGCCGUGUCCUCAAUGGGGACACCCGGCUUCUUAGAGGGACUAUUGGCUUUCAGUCAAUGGAAGUAUGAGGCAAUAACA